UACGGAGGGUGCAAGCGUUGUUCGGAAUCACUGGGCGUAAAGCGCGUGUAGGCGGUCUCUUAAGUCUGGUGUGAAAGCCCGGGGCUUACCCCCGGAAGGGCACUGGAGACUGGGAGACUUGAGUACCGGAGAGGAAGGUGGAAUUCCUGGUGUAGCGGUGAAAUGCGUAGAUAUCAGGAGGAACACCGGUGGCGAAGGCGGCCUUCUGGACGGCUACUGACGCUGAGACGCGAAAGCGUGGGGAGCAAACAGG
rnacentral:rRNA from 1 species